rnacentral:rRNA from 1 species
UACGGAGGGUGCAAGCGUUAAUCGGAUUUACUGGGCGUAAAGCGUGUGUAGGUGGCUUCCUAAGUCGGUUGUGAAAUCCCUGGGCUCAACCUGGGAAUUGCAGUCGAUACUGGGAAGCUCGAGUUCGGUAGAGGACGGCGGAAUUCCCGGUGUAGCAGUGAAAUGCGUAGAGAUCGGGAGGAACAUCCGUGGCGAAGGCGACUACCUGGACCAGCACUGACACUGAGGCACGGAAGCGUGGGGAGCAAACAGG